GAACUUCCGCCAUUCGAGUGAGAAGGAGAAAGAACAACGCUGUAAAGAAUAGGAGCAUGAUUUUUUUUCCUGGCAUCUUGGCAGAAGAAUAUUUUUCACUUCUUGAAAAAAUGAAGACUUUUCAAUUUUACAACGACUUGAAAGAAUAUCUUUUACGGGAAGAAUUUAGCAACAAUUUAACGGUCAGAGAGCGAAGUGAAAUACGACGUCUGUCCGUGAAUUUUAUGAUUAAAGUCCAUCAUCCAUGCCCUGGCUGCUGUACAGGGUGUAUCAGGGCAGGAGGCAGAAGACUUAUUUCUUGGUGGCCCAGAAUACAGUAUCAGGUAAAAGUCAAGUCUAUGAAUGUUUGAAGUAAGUGUUUAAAUAUUUCUUGUUUAUUAUUUUUAUACUUUACUUGCCUUAGUGAAGUGGAAGAAUUUAACCGAAAGAUAGGGCAGCAAUUAAAGAAGGAGGGAAUGGUGUGAUAUCUGUUGGAAUAGAAGAUGAUGCUACUGCCCAGUGCUUCCAGAAUCCUUCAUUUGAGUCUUGGGUCUGAAUCUACUGCAUCAUUGCCAAGUAUUCUGGGGUAAUGUAUCUUGUUUUGUUUACAUUUUGUUUCUCUCCAUAUUCCAAGCUCAUUUACUUGACCUUAGCUUUAAUAAACUGGAUGGCGGUCUCCUUCACAAUUGAUUUUAAAGUACUGUACUAUUCAUUACAUAAAAAGCUCUGAACAAUUUAGUCCCUUCCUGUAUUUGGUACUGUCUCUCCCCCAACACUCCUCAGUGUAAUCUUUAAUCCACAACCACUAAUUUGCUUAUGAAAGAACUGGUGAAGAAGCUUGCACAUGUAUACCAAAAAUAUAGAAUGCCGGCUAUAAAUGAAAAACAUUUCAAAAUACUUUUAAAACUCCAUUUUUAAACUUCACCUCUGCUUAAUUCCCACUUCUAUCAGUUUAUGAUUUACUUCUGGUUUAUGAAUGGAACUGCAUACACUUUGAAAGAUUUACACCAGAUAAUAACCAUUGUUUUUUUUGCUGUUUUCUUUUUUUUUGUCCAGUGAUGCCCUUUGCCAUGCACCCUGGGCAAGUCUUGUGCAACUGACUGUGGUGCUGAAGAGAGAAGAUUUCUGAAGACCCUCUUGAAAUGGAGCUGCAAUUGGAUUAACACCACAACAGUAUGCUUGGUUGUUUUAUCUGAAAAGGUGUCAUCCAAAUGGUUUAAAAACGAUGAAGAUCCUAAAGGUCACCGGAUAAUGACCUCUAUACAGUAGAAACUGAGGAGCUCACAGAUGGCCUCUACAACUAGCUCGAGGAACAGUUGAGAGGAUUUCUCUAGCAGAGGCAGAAGGUCUGUUCAUUGAUGGACCAGCAGACGGUGAGUGAAGAGUUUGACACACUUGAGCUUCAACUGUUGGAGUAGAAAGACAGUCAGCAUCACUGAGGCAUCUCAACUUGGGAUUCCAUCUCAGCCACUCCUCUAAUAAACGCGUCACUUGCUUUAUUUGUCUUUGGCCUUUUUUUAUUUCUGUGUGUUAAACUGACUGUGCAUAAUAGAGUUGUGCAUAUUUGAUUUAACUAUUGAUGUAAAUAAUAAAGGACACUUUGUUGAUUAA